AACGAACGCUGGCGGUAGGCCUAACACAUGCAAGUCGAGCGAAGUCUUCGGACUUAGCGGCGGACGGGUGAGUAACGCGUGGGAACAUGCCCAGAGGUACGGAACAACAGUUGGAAACGACUGCUAAUACCCGUAUACGCCCUACGGGGGAAAGAAUUUCGCCUUUGGAUUGGCCCGCGUUGGAUUAGAAUACGUUGGUGGGGUAACGGCCUACCAAGUUCGACGAUACCAUAGCCUGGUUUGAGAGGAUGGAUCAGCCACACUGGGACUGAGACACGGCCCA
rnacentral:rRNA from 1 species